UAGUCCACGCCGUAAACGAUGAAUGCUAGACGUUGUGGGAUUUGACCCCUACAGUGUCGCAGCUAACGCAUUAAGCAUUCCGCCUGGGGAGUACGGUCGCAAGAUUAAAACUCAAAGGAAUUGACGGGGACCCGCACAAGCGGUGGAGCAUGUGGUUUAAUUCGACGCAACGCGCAAAACCUUACCUGGGUUUAAACUGCAGUAGACCAUCACAGAGAUGUGAUUUUCCUUCGGGACUGCUGUAGAGGUGCUGCAUGGCUGUCGUCAGCUCGUGUCGUGAGAUGUUGGGUUAAGUCCCGCAACGAGCGCAACCCUUGCCGAUAGUUGCCAGCAUUAAGUUGGGCACUCUAUUGGGACUGCCGGUGUUAAACCGGAGGAAGGUAAGGAUGACGUCAAGUCAGCAUGCCCCUUAGCUCCGGGCUACACACGUGCUACAAUGGUCGUGACAAAGAGUUGCUUAGUCUGCGAAGGCAAGCCAAUCUCAUAAACGCGCCUUAGUCGGA
rnacentral:rRNA from 1 species